AAUUUUAACUUUGUGAUUAAGAAAUUCAAAGUUAUUAUUUCUCAUUUUUAAAAGAUUUCCUAAAUAAGAGUAUACUUUAAGAUCAUAGUUUGAUAUAAAUUGAUUCGAUGAUAUUUAUAAAGCUUAUAAAUAAAUUGUUAUCGUAUUAUACAAUAUGAAUUCUUGCUUAGCAAAUCCUAUUUGGCUUUUCUAAAACAAUGUGUUCCAUGUUGAUUUGAAAAUGAAUUUCUAAAACUAAUUAAAGAUAUUUUUAGAAGGAAUUCAAUUAAGUUUAUGGUUAGCUUAGAGUGAAACAAGAAUGCUUUGUUGGAAAUAUUUCUCAGAGAAUUGAGUUUAGUUCUAAUUCGAUUUAAGUGAAUAUUCUAUUGACUGAUAUUUUUAUUUGUUGAGGUGAAUUUGUUGGAGAAUAUAACAUCCAAAUUUUCGCUAAGAAUUCACUCAAGGAAAUGCAGGAAAUACAGGUAAUGACGACUGAUUUUGGGUUCACGGGAAGUAAAGUUGGGAACUUAGUUAUAGUGUACUUUUGUGGAAGAGUUUAAUAAUUGUGUAUAAGUUAUUUAAAUUAUUUUAGUUAUGUAGUAUGAAUAGUACUUAGCUUUGCAUCUACUUUAUAAGUAGGGGUAGCAGUAACACCCUGAUGGUGUAUAGGGAAAUUUUAUUUGUUGGAAUGAUGUAAUUGAAGCAGGUUGAAGAAAUUAUGACGUAAUUCCCUAAAUAAUAUUUUAGGUUGUCCA